AGUCCUAACCACUUUAAAAGUAGGGUGGAUGGUUAUAGCUUUGGACAUGUUGAGUUUAAGGCGCAGGGUAUCCCAAGUUUAGCUCUUGUAUAAUUAAGUUAGCAGAAAAUACAGACCUAAUCCUAGGCCAGGGAACUAGGACUGGUGUUAGAUCUGAGCGAGAUCAGCAUAGAAGUGAUAGUGGAGAAAGGAAAUUGAGAAGUGAGGACUGAACCCUGUGGUGGAAAUUCAGAGUUAAUCAAGGCAAGAGGAAAGUUGGGAUAAUGGGGUGUUGCAGUUAAAGGAAGUCAGGUUUUAGGAGGAGGUAAUAGCUAUUCCAGAGAGAGAAAAGGAAUGAGACUUUAAGGCUUUGGACUUUGGCUGGAAUAGAGUUCAGUAUACAGUCCUACUUAGUAAGUCACUUUUGACUCAGUGAUAUGUCCUGAGGGCAGUCUGGUGAGGGAAUAAGGAUAUAGAAUUAAAGGAUAGGCAGAGAUCAGAUUUUUGGAGUUCCUCAUAUAUAUAUGAAACUUUGCUUUUUUGAUGUGUAAUUAGGGAGGGGCAUUGGUUUUCAUAGCAAAGAAACGACACCAUGAAACUGUAGAGGAGUGACUGAAAGUAGGAGACUAUGUAGAGAGGUAGACCUUAUGAUAUCCUUAUCAGCAGUAUCACAUACAUAGUAGGUCCUUAAUUGUUGAAACAGAGACUGGAGGAGCAGAUUUUGGUAAAAGAUUGACAGUUUUAUUGAGAUAAUUUACCUAUGUAAGCAUCAUCUACUUAAAGUGUGCAAUUCAGUGGUUUUUACUAUAUGUACAGUUGUGCAACCAUCACCAUAAUCCAAUUUUAAAGUGUUCAUCCCCCCCCAAAAAAAAAAAACCUUGAACACAUUAGCAAUCACUCUCCAUAUCCCCCCAGGCCUAGAUAUCUACUAAUCUACUUUAUAUAUUUGCCUAUUAGAAAAGAUUUGGGGCUUCCCAAGUGGUGCAGUGGUUGAGAAUCCGCCUGCCAAUGCAGGGGACACGGGUUCGAGCCCUGGUCCGGGAAGAUCCCACAUGCCGCGGAGCAGCUAAGCCCAUGUGCCACAACUACUGAGCCUGCGCUCUAGAGCCCGCAAGCCACAACUGCUGGAGCCUGCGCGCCUAGAUCCCAUGCUCCACAACAAGAGAAGCCACCACAAUGAGAAGCCCGUGCACUGCAAUGAAGAGUAGCCCCUGCUCACCACAACUAGAGAAAGCCCGUGCACAGCAACGAAGACUCAACACAGCCAAAAAUAAAUAAAAAGAAAAGAUUUGAUCAACCCUUUAUAAUGGGUAUUGUGAAACUACAGAUAUAUUGUCCCAUUUACCAGUGGAAUAGUAUAUUUUAAUACUUGUAUUCCCCUGGAGGUUCCAGUUCUCCACAUACUGUCUUCCAGUACUACUAUGACCAAGGCUAGAGAGAGCAGUGGCAGCAAGGACCAUUUGUGAUCUUUGAAGUAUAAUUUUGGGUAGUAUGAUGAGAAUGAUAACCAUUAUACUGGGAACCAAGAACAAAAAAUGAGAGUAAGAUGGCACAUAGAAACUAGAUUUUCAAAAUUUAACAGUGAACAAGAAAAUCGGAUGAUAUUGUCUUACUAUGAACCAACUAUGCUGGCUACUUUCAGUUUCUUGUGAAUAACAAGCUUAAUGCAUACUCCUAACCCCCACACACCUCCUCUUCUGUUUAUGCUUCAAGGAUCAACAUACUUCUUCGUAGAGAAGCUUUUCCUAAUGCCUCCCUCUGAAAGACCUAUUGGGUCCCCAUAAUUUGUACCUUCUCACCAUCAGUUUCUCUUUCAUCAUAUGUUAUUUAUUUACCUACACAGACUGUGCUGUAAGCUAUGAAAGCAAGUAUUAUUGGGUUUUGUCUUGUUAGCCACCAUAAAUAUUGAAAGGGUAAAUUAAUAGGAGCUUUAGUAGUAGAUAGUACUAAGUAUCAAAGCACAUUUUUUUGUUUGUGUUUUUAAAAUUUGCGGGUUAAGGAACAUUUGUUCAUCUUUUAAGGCAGAGGGCAAGGAACAAGGAGACUGAGAAAUGUGGAAAUCCUACAGCAUAAUUCAAAGAUCUUAGGGAUGAUAUUGUGAGCAAAGGAUUAAUAGUAGCAGUUAGGAGGGUUAGGAUAAAGAAGGAAGACGAAUCAUCUUAGUUGACAUUAUUGCUGAGUGAAACACAUAUGAUGCCCAAGUUUUAGAUCUUAUUCUGCAGUCUGUUUACCUUAAAAAUCUGUUUAGAGCAGCGUUCUUAACUUGGUUCAGGGAUUUACCCUCCACGAGGUCAGUGAAUUGGAUAGGAAAAAAAUUCCAUCUUUAUUUUCAAGUACCUCUAACUGAACCUAGUUUUUCUUUUGUAAAUAUAGGCAACAAGUCCCCACUAGUUUUGGCAGUACCUAUGGCUUUGUCACCAAUAGAAAUCACAGGUGGUAUGGUCAGGAAAAAGACUACAAUGUGCUAGUCAUGGAUCUUCUUGGACCCAGCCUCGAAGACCUCUUCAAUUUCUGUUCAAGAAGGUUCACAAUGAAAACUGUACUUAUGUUAGCUGACCAGAUGAUCAGUAGAAUUGAAUAUGUGCAUACAAAGAAUUUUAUACACAGAGACAUUAAACCAGAUAACUUCUUAAUGGGUAUUGGGCGUCACUGUAAUAAGUGUUUAGAAUCUCCAGUGGGGAAGAGGAAAAGAAGCAUGACUGUUAGUACUUCUCAGGACCCAUCUUUCUCAGGAUUAAACCAGUUAUUCCUUAUUGAUUUUGGUUUGGCCAAAAAGUACAGAGACAACAGGACAAGGCAACACAUACCAUACAGAGAAGAUAAAAAUCUCACUGGCACUGCUCGAUAUGCUAGCAUCAAUGCACAUCUUGGUAUUGAACAGAGUCGCCGAGAUGACAUGGAAUCAUUAGGAUAUGUUUUGAUGUAUUUUAAUAGAACCAGCCUGCCAUGGCAAGGACUAAAGGCUGCAACAAAGAAGCAAAAGUAUGAAAAAAUUAGCGAAAAGAAGAUGUCCACACCUGUUGAAGUUUUAUGUAAGGGAUUUCCUGCAGAGUUUGCCAUGUACUUAAACUAUUGCCGUGGGCUGCGCUUUGAGGAAGCCCCGGAUUACAUGUACCUGAGGCAGCUAUUCCGCAUUCUUUUCAGGACCCUGAAUCACCAAUAUGACUACACAUUUGAUUGGACAAUGUUAAAGCAGAAAGCAGCACAGCAGGCAGCCUCUUCAAGUGGGCAGGGUCAGCAGGCCCAAACCCCCACAGGAACGUGGCUGGUCAUUCAGCAACGUAAACCAUAUCACAGGGGAAGACCUUGAAAUAUCUGGAGAGACUGCUCUGCUCCGAAUACUCUCAAUCCAAAGAGGUGCCGGGGAGCUGCAUCUGUUUGCUGAAAUUUUUGUCAGCUUUUUUUCACUGUGGACAAUAAAGCUGGAGAGAAAAUAACCCAACAGGAAAUAAAGAUGAGUGCUUAAGAGUUGAUUUGAAGUGAUCUGAAGCCCACCUCUCGAAGGCUUGCUGGACCUAUCAAACUUUUCAACUUGUCAGAUUGAAAACAACCGUCAGAAGACCUAGAAGAGUACAGUGUUGCUGUGACUCAGUGGUGUAUAACGCAGACCAUCUCCCAGUUGGGGAAGGAAUCAGUUGUAACAGGAACAAAUGGAUUCAUUCCUUCAUUCCUUAUUUUAACUGUUGCAGUGAAGAUGGGUUUUUGGACUUUAGAAACCAGGAGACACCACCUAAACUACAAGACAAACCAAGGACUAAUUGCACACUGAGGAAAAGAAUACUUAGUGCUUGAAGAUUGAAUCUUGAAUACCUGCUGAAUGCUCCUAUUGAGAUUUUUCCUAAACAAGCAUCUGUAACAUUUUAGGACAAUUCACCGGAGAAACAUUGAUCCCUGGGUGGAAUAUCCUACCAUUGGCCAGUCUGAAGAGUUAAAUCUGGAUUUGACUGCUCUAUUCUACCAGGAAUAUUGUUAGGCUAGCCUUUAACCAGCCCCUAAACAAUUGUAAUCAUUAAUUGACCCAGCAGUUCUUCAAAUAUCAGAUUAAAAGAUGAACAGAUACAAUUCUUAUCCCUAUUAAAGACACAAGAGUUUUCUAAUAUUUUGACUGACAAUGUAACUUAUGUUUUCUUUUUAGUUUGUUAGUGACAGUGGUUUUCAUUUUAAUGCUGUUUGGAUAUUCAACAUAGUACAGGUUUCCCCUGUCUGAAAGUAGGGCAUUCGAAACCUUUCCUAAGCUAAAAUGGCAUAAAGCAAAGAAGCAGUUACCUUAGGAUACAUGUUGCUGAUAAAUUGAGAUAAUGCAUAGAUGCUAGCAGACACAGUUCAAAGCUGUGGCGGCUUGAGGCUGAUGGUAAUUCCCAGGGAAAGAACUUGGUGGUGCCUUUAUCACUCCUCAGGAGUGCCAUUUUCACUACUCAGGGUGCAUGCUGCCUCUAGGUUUGCUGUGAAACGCUGAAUGCUAUUUUUGCUUUUUGCCUUUUUUCGUUAAAGCAAAAAAUCUUUGGUUAGUGAAAACAGGUACUAAUGUAGGCCUUUCAUAAAAUGUGAAGUGGCAUAAAGCGAACUUUUCGAAAAGUAGGGGGAAUACCACUAAUUAUUCAGUAUCAUGUAAUUGUGUAAAAAAGCUACAGUAAAAGAAAACCCAACAAUUUUAGUGGUUGUGAAAACAUUUUUAUUGUAUUUAAUGAUAAUUGCAGGACUUGAAACCAAAUGCUCCUCAGGAUAAGGGUCAUUGCUAUUUAGCUAAUCCAUAGUUUUAAUUUGCUUUAAAAUAUUCUGUAUUUUAACAUUGGAACUAAGUUACAGUAUAUGGUCAGAUUUUUAAAAAUUUAAUUCAGAUUUGAUUUGACAGCCUUUUCUUUUUGUGGUUUUACACUGCUAAUCCUGUUUAAUAUAACAGGCAUCAGAAACGUAGUAUUCCUGUGGCAAAGUACAUUUUCAGAAAGUUUCAUUAUCUUUCACUUUUGGCAUUUGCUUUAUGAACUUAGUGCUAGGACAGGCAGCAAAAGCCUGUUUUGCACCUACUCCGUAAUUAAGGCACUGUGGAGAGACAGAGAAUUACAACACUCACAUCUUUGUCUUCAGAGCUUGUCACAAUAUAGUUUUCAAAUGAAUGAAGAUGACUUUCUGCCCUCAAAUGAAAAAACAAAGGCAUACAUGCAUGAAAAGUAAAUUACAGAACUAUUUCAUUUAUCCUACAAAGCCUGCUGGAGAUGAUCCUGCAAAUGUUGAAGUAUCAAAAAAGGAGCAGCUUAUGAUUGACAAAAACAUGGUUUGUGCUGAGGAAUUGAGUGAUUAGAGUGAGCUAGAAUGAGCUAUAUAGGUUGGCUAUAAGAGGGAGGGGUUGGACCAAGGGUCAUUGAUGACUUAAAGGAGGCCUGUAGGUGAGAAGGUGCUGAUGGGAUUUUCAUGAUGUUGAGACAGCAUAUUCCCUUUAGCUAUAGAUAAAGCUUGUAGGUAUUAGAAAUGGGCGUAGGUAUUAGAAAUGGGCGUAUUUCCUCUGAUUGCAUUCAGCUGUAGAUAGAACAUGCAACUAUUAUGAUUACCUGAGCCUCCUAUUCAAACCUGCCUUUAUAUGGAAGCCCUGAGGUUUAAUUUGUGGAGGAGGAGAAGUGUAUUUACAGGGUGGGGAGGCUUUGAAAGUAAAGCCAGAAAGCCUCACUCAUUUACAUUUUCAAAUCAGUGGUAAAAAACUAUAGUCUUUUUAGUGUAACUGAUAGACGUAAAGAAUUUUUAAAGGUCUAAGGUUUCUGUAUAAAAAUCAUAUACUUAACUAGGUUUGUGUUCAGUGGAUUAACUCAGAUAAUUAUGCCUUGAAUACAUUUAUUAAAGGCUUUUGUUCCUCAUUUGUAUCAGAAAUAAUGUACAGAAAAGUUCCUGCUCACAGUAUGAUUAAAACUACUUUCUAGUUGUUAAGGCAAUCUUAUUUUUUAUUUAUUUGACUAAUAAACACAUAAUGUAUUCUAAGUACUAGAAAUACAGAAGUAAACAAAAACAGGCUUAUUGGAAUUCCCACUAAUUCUCUUGAGAACUGUAUGCUGGACGGGAAGGCUUUAAUUCACUGUAUACCACUCCUGGCUAGAAGCAUCCAGUACAGAAGUUUCCGGUUAUUUUAAUUUUAAACGCUAACCUGACCUAGUGAUUUUCAAAUAGAUGAAAAUAACAUAUGAGUUACCAUUCUAAAGUAAUUAUUUCCCUACUUUGGGUGUGGUUAAGAAAAUAUUUUUAACUUGGAGUUUAACAUUCUUUUUUUCUGUU